UUCAAUGCACACCACCAAUUAUCUGGACAGGAAAAGUUGCCAAGUCAAAGCAAACUAUGAAGGCCCGCUGGAUACUUUGAGUCCACAAAGGAAGAAAAUAAAGAGGACUUUCAGGAUGGUUGACAUGGGACGCCGUGUUUUCGAGACCUGUGUGGACUGGAGCCUGAAGCAUAUCAGGAGCAGUUUCGUUGGUCGUCAGGGAAAACAGUGAACGGUGUGCCGAUGGACCUCAGAAUCAGGAGGGUACUCCAGCGUGAAAAUGGAGCAUGCACGUGAGCUGAGUAGUGGCAUGCAGCAUGCACGCCCAUCGAUCCUUGCUGCUCAUUCCCAUACGGUGUCCGCCAUGCCCCUUGGACACUGAAUUCCAGUGGACCCAGCAUGUGUGGGAAUUCAGGGGAGACUCGAUGUAUAUACAAGACAAGAAAACAAAACUGACCCUGACUCAGAAGAGCUCUGCCUCCUUCUCCUUGGAUGAACCGAUCCAGAUCCCUUUGGAGAUGUCUUUCUGCACUUUUCCCCAGAGCCUGAGCUUUGGGAACUCAAAGGAAGCUCAGCACUGCAUUCAAGAUGAAGAACACAACCAAAGCAAUCCCACAAUUCCAUCGUUGAUGUUCUGUUUCCUGGGACCGUUCACGGUAUAAAUUUCUG
rnacentral:lncRNA from 13 species